GACGAACGCUGGCGGCGUGCCUAAUACAUGCAAGUAGAACGCUGAAGGAGGAGCUUGCUCUUCUGGAUGAGUUGCGAACGGGUGAGUAACGCGUAGGUAACCUGCCUGGUAGUGGGGGAUAACUAUUGGAAACGAUAGCUAAUACCGCACAAUAACAGUUGUUGCAUGACAACUGUUUGAAAGGUGCAAUUGCAUCACUACCAGAUGGACCUGCGUUGGAUUAGCUAGUUGGUGGGGUAACGGCUCACCAAGGCGACGAUACAUAGCCGACCUGAGAGGGUGAUCGGCCAGACUGGGAGGGAGACACGGCCCAGACUCCCAGGGGAGGCAGCAGUAGGGAAUCUUCGGCAAUGGACGAAAGUCUGACCGAGCAACGCCGCGUGAGUGAAGAAGGUUUUCGGAUCGUAAAGCUCUGUUGUAAGAGAAGAACGAGUGUGAGAGUGGAAAGUUCACACUGUGACGGUAUCUUACCAGAAAGGGACGGCUAACUACGUG
rnacentral:rRNA from 1 species